CCGUCAAUUCCUUUGAGUUUCAGCCUUGCGGCCGUACUUCCCAGGUGGCUCGCUUCACGGCUUCCCUACGGCACCGACAACGGUCGCACCGUGGCCGACACCUAGCGAGUAUCGUUUACGGCUAGGACUACCCGGGUAUCUAAUCCGGUUCGUGCCCCUAGCUUUCGUCCCUUGCCGUCAGGUCCGUUCUGGUGAGACGCCUUCGCCACUGGUGGUCCUUCAAGGAUUACAAGAUUUCACCCCUACCCCUGAAGUACCUCUCACCUCUCCCGGCCUCGAGCCGAACAGUAUCUCCUGAAAGCCCAACAGUUGAGCUGCUGGAUUUCUCAAGAGACUUAUCCGGCCGGCUACAGACCCUUUAGACCCAAUAAUAACGGUUACCACUCGAGCCGCCGGUGUUACCGCGGCGGCUGGCACCGGUCUUGCCCGGCCCUUGCUAUGCAAUGCUUUUUAGGCAUCACGACAGCCAGAUUUGUAACCUGGCACUCGAGGUCCCCUUAUCGCCGUUGCCGGCAUUGUAGAGUUUUCGCGCCUGCUGCCUCCCGUAGGAGU
rnacentral:rRNA from 1 species